CCUGCACACUGUUAAAGCUCGGAGUGGAGGCCAGUCUAGGCCAGUGAACUUCUGAGUGUCGGGAGUGUGCUACAUUGAACUUAUGGCAGGAUUUUCGCUAACACCAGUAGAGCUUGCCUCUAUGACUGGAGUUUGGUAGUGGUCGCUGCCACAUAA